rnacentral:rRNA from 1 species
CGAGGAGCUUGCUCCUCCGAUCAGUGGCGAACGGGUGAGUAACACGUGAGUAACCUGCCCCAGACCCUGGGAUAACAGUUGGAAACAGCUGCUAAUACCGGAUACGAGACGGAGAGGCAUCUCUACCGUCUGGAAAGAUUUAUCGGUCUGGGAUGGACUCGCGGCCUAUCAGCUUGUUGGUGAGGUAAAGGCUCACCAAGGCGACGACGGGUAGCCGGCCUGAGAGGGCGACCGGCCACACUGGGACUGAGACACGGCCCAGAUUCCUACGGGAGGCAGCAGUGGGGAAUAUUGCACAAUGGGCGAAAGCCUGAUGCAGCGACGCCGCGUGAGGGAUGACGGCCUUCGGGUUGUAAACCUCUUUCAGCAGGGAAGAAGCGAAAGUGACGGUACCUGCAGAAGAAGCACCGGCUAACUACGUGCCAGCAGCCGCGGUAAUACGUAGGGUGCGAGCGUUGUCCGGAAUUAUUGGGCGUAAAGAGCUUGUAGGCGGUUUGUCGCGUCUGCAGUGAAAAUCCGGGGCUCAACCCCGGACUUGCUGUGGGUACGGGCAGACUAGAGUGUGGUAGGGGAGACCGGAAUUCCUGGUGUAGCGGUGGAAUGCGCAGAUAUCAGGAGGAACACCGAUGGCGAAGGCAGGUCUCUGGGCCACAACUGACGCUGAGAAGCGAAAGCAUGGGGAGCGAACAGGAUUAGAUACCCUGGUAGUCCAUGCCGUAAACGUUGGGCGCUAGGUGUGGGGCUCAUUCCACGAGCUCCGUGCCGCAGCUAACGCAUUAAGCGCCCCGCCUGGGGAGUACGGCCGCAAGGCUAAAA